GGCGGGCCUUUUAGCCAUUGUGUCAUUCGAUUUGAUUUCAUGUUGUCCCGUGGGUUAUAAAAAAGGUCAAAUCGAUGGCAUUUUGGUUAGAUCGACGCGUUGACGUGUGAGUGGCUAAUUUAAUGUUUGUGUUGGCUGGCUCCUUGCUUUCGCAGCGAACUGUCGGCGCAUACAUAUUUCAGUCGAGAAUUAGACGCGCAUGUCGGAUUUUUGUGUUGCCAACCCAGUUGAUGGAAUUCUUAUGACCCAGAUGCGUAACUUCGCCAAACACCCCUUGAGGUGCAAGGCGCAAGAUGAAGCUGCCCCUUUUUACGCCAUGCUCUCCCUUUUCGGGAUCCAUGGAAAAUUGGUGUCAUUGCUUGUUGCCUCGGAUGCAGGGCAUGAAGCGAGCAUGGUGCAUGUCAUCAUCGCUCAUUCAGAGCUCUCGAUUGCUCGGAAAGAGAGACCGCCGCGCUUGGUUUUGGCUGUCGACUCGUCGAUACGGGCUCGAAACCUUGCCGACGUCUUCAAUGAAUGCUACCUGGUUGAUCCUGCCAGUAGUCAUAUGCUUGUCUCAAAGAUUAAGCCAUGCAUG
rnacentral:misc_RNA from 1 species